rnacentral:rRNA from 1 species
AGCGGCGGACGGGUGAGUAACGCGUAGGAACCUACCUAAUAGAGGGGGAUAGCCCAGAGAAAUUUGGAUUAAUACCGCAUAAUGUCUACGGACCAAAGCAGGGGAUCUUCGGACCUUGCACUAUUAGAUGGGCCUGCGUCGGAUUAGCUAGUUGGUAGGGUAAUGGCCUACCAAGGCGACGAUCCGUAGCUGGUUUGAGAGGAUGAUCAGCCACACUGGAACUGAGACACGGUCCAGACUCC